ensembl:antisense 4921513I08Rik RIKEN cDNA 4921513I08 gene
AUGGGAUGGAGUUGAUGUUUAUCAUAGCCACCAACUGUUGGCACAGGAAAGAGGGUCUUGCCAUGUAGCCUGAACUUGGGAACAUUCCUGGCUGAGCCCUUUUCAAUAGUAAGCACAGCAAAAGAGAACUAGAAGCUAAUUCCUUAUCUUCCUCUUUUCACCCCAAAAUGUAGUGGGCAUUUCCCUUCUAGUCUUGUCCUCUACAUGAGCCAGCUCCUGUGAGAACUUUAGCCUUGCAGAUGGGGUUCAGAUGGGCUCUUCACCAAGACAGGCACCUGCUGCCAUUUCUCCUCGGUGAGAUUCACAGAUUUAUACAGGAGAAAGAUGGGUCAUCACCGCAUGAACAAAUGCCCCUAUCCUGCAUAUCACUGUCUUCCCGUUAUCUUCAGCAUGAAAUCCCAACUUCUUAAAGGUCAUGGACACAAGAUGUCAGCUCUGCCCAUCUCUUUCUACUUCUUCUCCCCAACUCUAUGCAUCCUCUCAUUUACUUUCUUCGAUCUCACUGGCCUUUCUAAGCCCUUGGACCUUUUCAUCUGAUGAAGAUCAAAUGGUCAUAAAGGCCUUCAACAGAGUUGCAGAGAUGUAACCAGGCAGCCGAGGGAGUACCGGCCAUCAAUUCUGAUAAGUAUAUUGACUGGUGUCUGGUCACCUACAGAGAUACUUCUGUCCCCAAGAGUUUGGGACAUAAACUUACCAGGAAUCCACUGUGAUGACCCACAAAUUUACUCAUGAGAUUUAAAUCUGAUCAUGUCAUCACUUGGUGUAAUGAAACACUAUAAAAAACAUAAUUAAAUAUGAGUAGGAGCCAGGCCAUUUCCUUAGCCCUCAGGAUGAAUACUUUGUGAAGACAUUCUAAAUGUCAGUGA